GAAGAGAUAAGUGGCCUUAACGCUGUGACUUCUAAUCAUAGUUGGUGCAAUUCGAUUUUGUGCUCUCUUCU
rnacentral:tRNA from 1 species